rnacentral:rRNA from 1 species
AACGAACGCUGGCGGCAUGCCUAACACAUGCCAGUCGAACGAGACCUUCGGGUCUAGUGGCGCACGGGUGCGUAACGCGUGGGAACCUGCCCUUAGGUUCGGAAUAACUCCCCGAAAGGGGUGCUAAUACCGGAUAAUGUCUUCGGACCAAAGAUUUAUCGCCUUUGGAUGGGCCCGCGUUGGAUUAGCUAGUUGGUAGGGUAAAAGCCUACCAAGGCGACGAUCCAUAGCUGGUCUGAGAGGAUGAUCAGCCACACUGGGACUGAGACACGGCCCAGACUCCUACGGGAGGCAGCAGUGGGGAAUAUUGGACAAUGGGCGAAAGCAUGAUCCAGCAAUGCCGCGUGAGUGAUGAAGGCCUUAGGGUUGUAAAGCUCUUUUACCCGGGAUGAUAAUGACAGUACCGGGAGAAUAAGCACCGGCUAACUCCGUG